AUCGCUUCUCGGCCUUUUGGCUAAGAUCAAGUGUAGAAAUGGAAAAUAGGAAACUACAGGAGGAAGUAAAGUGUUCACACCAAGUAGAAGACGUUUAGAUUCCCUAGUUGCAAGGCUUUAAAUGGCAUGCUUUUUAUCUUUGUGAAUUUCAAUUAGACUUUGCAAUGGGCAAGUCAGGAAGGGAAUAUUAAUG